rnacentral:tRNA from 1 species
GGGCGGAUAGCUCAGUUGGGAGAGCGCUGCCCUUACAAGGCAGAGGUCACAGGUUCGAUCCCUGUUCCGCCNNUACCA